UGUGUAUAAAAUGCAUCACGAAACCUAAUGAACUCGGGUACUAUAGGCUAAAAAUGAAGAGGUUGCGGCAGUGGCACACAGAGAAAAAGAUAUUUAAAAUUGAUUGGCAAAACGAUUUCUUUUUUCUACAAAAAGCCUUGGAAAAUAAAACUGCAUUAGUUAUGCAUAAACAGAGUAAUGUUUGCUUAUUUAUUUUUAAAAUAUUAGAAAAUUAUAAAUUAGGGGUUAUCAGGGCAACUUUAAUUUUAAUAUAACACAACAACAUUUACUUUUGGCCCACAGCCCUCAGUCAGGUUUGGCCCUUGUAAGGAAAAUGUUCGGGCACCAAUGAAUGUUCUAGUCUAUCUGAGGAGGUAACUUUUAGCAUUUGAUAAUGCAUGCUUGCACAAAGUCAGACCACAUAUUAUAAUGUUUGUCUUCAAUCAAUCAAUUUAAACAAAAGAGAUGGGGACUUUAUAAUAUAAUAAGGGUCCAUAUAUCACAGUGAAAAAAGACAUACAUGUUUUUUUACUUUAACAUGAACUAAUGCUGAGUUACAGCAUAUCAUAUAUUGAAGAGUCAUCAUUAACUACAACAUGACAUGUUUUUCAUUGUUAGUUAAUGCAGUCAUUUACAAUAAAUUAAUUUGAGUUCAUGUUGUAGUUAAGUAAGUUCAGUAAGUUACAUGUCUUAACUCAGCAUUAGUUUAUAUUUACUUAUAUUUAAGUAAGAAUUCAUUUAGGUAUACAUUCAAUGUUUCCAAUGAUGAGCAGUUAAUCCACUAAACCCAGAGAUAAUUCCUGAGGCAUGUUUAAAGAGUUUUGUAUUUCAUCAAGAAGGUGCUGAUUCACAAAGAUUUUAAAUUUAAGAAAAUCUGAGCAUCAUUCCAAAUAACUGUUAACAUGUUUGUCAACUAAACAUGUUUUGUAAACGUAAUAAACUUUAUAAAAAUAUUUUUUAUUUUGUAUUAAUAAUCAAGUAUAAAGAACAAUGCAUAGUGUGAAAAUGCGGAUUCUAAAAAGUAUAUGAAAGAAAAGGACUACAUUUCCCAGAAUGCACCUGCACCCACUCAUCUGACUGCCCCCACCCUUCAGGUGCGACUGCUCAACCUAUGGGCUUGACGGAAAAUUCAAAUCGCGAACCGUUACUGCCUGGACUACUCCGUCUCUUGUUUGUUUGUUUGCUCAUUAACAGUAAGGUAAGUUUGAUUUAAUUCAUUUGUCUGCAUCGCGCUGAUCGGUUGCCUAUUUGUUCAUAUUAUGUUAUUUACUAUGAUUCGUUUUUGUCUUUAUACUAGAACUGUUUGAAUUUAAAGCACAAACAGUAAAACAUUAAGGUUAUACGUGGUACACAGCGGUAAACAUGAGGUUAAAAAUACGCGAAGUUACAUUCAAACCGGGCUGUUAAAAGAAUCAAUUCGAUGUUUAAAUUUUUAAAAACAAAACUUUAAAGAAGCCAAGAUGAGACGUUAUUUGCUUAAAACAAACAAAACAACAGUAACUCGUUUGUUUGAAAUGUUAGCAGCUAGCAAGUGUCUCUCUGCUAUUUUAAAUGGUACAGACGAUCUUUUGUUGUUUUAAAAGCUCAUUCAGUUCUGGUAGAUGCUGCUUAUUUUUCAAGACUGUUUUAAUAGCUUUAUAUUGAUUUGUAACAAAGCCAGCUUCACUUUAAGAGAACCUAGAUGCUAAUUGUAAAGAAGCUUGGAGUCAUAAUAUAUUUAAACGUUAUAUGUUUGCUGUUCUUCAUCUUUUUAAAUAUGAAGUCUAUUCAUGUUUGUGUUUACAGAGGUCAUGUACACUGUGGUCAAUUUUGUGGACGAUGAAGAGGUUUCUGGGUAAAGAUGAUAGAAAUAUAAUGAAGUAACAGUGGAAGCUAAAACAUCAGACUGAUCCAGACACUGAAGAAAUUGAUGUCACUGCAAUCUGGCCAAAAUGAUACAACUAUAUUGAAGUAGCCUACUGUAAUGAAGCUGCAGAACAACACAGAGACUCUUGAGGACAUCAACACAGAAAAUGAAGGCUCCAAAGAGAUGUCUGUCCAGAUGAGGGUGCAUCAAUGUUACGUUUGCUGACAAGUAUAUGCUUCACAAUGUAAAACCUAACAGUUAACUUAACUCAAACCAUUUAAGGAAAUCGGUUGCCUU